UGGGUUGUGGCUCAGCGGUAGAGCGCUCACCUAGCACAUGUGAGGCCCUGGGUUUGAUUCUCAGCACCACAU
rnacentral:tRNA from 1 species